rnacentral:rRNA from 1 species
UGGGGAAUUUUGGACAAUGGGCGAAAGCCUGAUCCAGCCAUGCCGCGUGAGUGAAGAAGGCCUUCGGGUUGUAAAGCUCUUUUAGUCGGAAAGAAAGAGUUGCAAUGAAUAAUUGUGAUUUAUGACGGUACCGACAGAAAAAGCACCGGCUAACUACGUGCCAGCAGCCGCGGUAAUACGUAGGGUGCGAGCGUUAAUCGGAAUUACUGGGCGUAAAGGGUGCGCAGGCGGUCUGGCAAGUCAGAUGUGAAAGCCCCGGGCUUAACCUGGGAAUUGCGUUUGAAACUACAAGGCUAGAGUGCAGCAGAGGGGAGUGGAAUUCCAUGUGUAGCAGUGAAAUGCGUAGAGAUGUGGAAGAACACCGAUGGCGAAGGCAGCUCCCUGGGUUGACACUGACGCUCAUGCACGAAAGCGUGGGGAGCAAACA